CUGCAAUCAGCUAACCUGACCAUGUUUCUUUCCUGAUAGUGGUCCUGGAUGCAAUAGCAGCAAAUAGUGGCCUCCUUAGGAGUGCAUGCAGCCUGCUCUUUACAUGGCUUUCCCUUAGGGAUCUUGGAGACAGUU